UACGGGGGGGGCAAGCGUUGUUCGGAAUUACUGGGCGUAAAGGGCUCGUAGGCGGCCAAUUAAGUCGGAUGUGAAAUCCCCAGGCUUAACCUGGGAACUGCAUCCGAUACUGGAUGGCUUGAAUUCGGGAGAGGGAUGCAGAAUUCCAGGUGUAGCGGUGAAAUGCGUAGAUAUCUGGAGGAAUACCGGUGGCGAAGGCGGCAUCCUGGACCGAGAUUGACGCUGAUGAGCGAAAGCUAGGGGAGCAAACGGG
rnacentral:rRNA from 1 species